rnacentral:rRNA from 1 species
GACGGAGGAUGCAAGUGUUAUCCGGAAUCACUGGGCGUAAAGCGCACGUAGGCGGCUUGGUAAGUUAGAGGUGAAAGCCCGGGGCUCAACCCCGGAACUGCCUUUGAAACUAGGUGACUAGAAUCUUGGAGAGGUCAGUGGAAUUCCGAGUGUAGAGGUGAAAUUCGUAGUAUUCGGAAGAACACCAGUGGCGAAGGCGACUGACUGGACAAGUAUUGCGUG